AAUAGCUCACUAGUCGAGUGACACUGCGCCGAAAAUGUACCGGGGCUAAACAUAUUACCGAAGCUGUGGAUUGUCCUUUGGACAAUGGUAGGAGAGCGUUCUAAGGGCGUUGAAGCAUGAUCGUAAGAACAUGUGGAGCGCUUAGAAGUGAGAAUGCCGGUGUGAGUAGCGAAAGACGGGUGAGAAUCCCGUCCACCGAUUGACUAAGGUUUCCAGAGGAAGGCUCGUCCGCUAUGGGUUAGUCGGGUCCUAAGC
rnacentral:rRNA from 1 species